rnacentral:rRNA from 1 species
GGGUAAUGCUCACCAAGGCGACGACGGGUAGCCGGCCUGAGAGGUGACCGGCCACACUGGGACUGAGACACGGCCCAGACUCCUACGGGAGGCAGCAGUGGGGAAUAUUGCACAAUGGGCGAAAGCCUGAUGCAGCGACGCCGCGUGAGGGAUGACGGCCUUCGGGUUGUAAACCUCUUUCAGCACGGAAGAAGCGAAAGUGACGGUACGUGCAGAAGAAGCGCCGGCUAACUACGUGCCAGCAGCCGCGGUAAUACGUAGGGCGCAAGCGUUGUCCGGAAUUAUUGGGCGUAAAGAGCUCGUAGGCGGUUUGUCGCGUCUGCUGUGAAAGCCCGGGGCUUAACCCCGGGUGUGCAGUGGGUACGGGCAGACUUGAGUGCAGUAGGGGAGACUGGAAUUCCUGGUGUAGCGGUGAAAUGCGCAGAUAUCAGGAGGAACACCGAUGGCGAAGGCAGGUCUCUGGGCUGUUACUGACGCUGAGGAGCGAAAGCAUGGGGAGCGAACAGGAUUAGAUACCCUGGUAGUCCAUGCCGUAAACGUUGGGCACUAGGUGUGGGGAACAUUCCACGUUUUCCGCGCCGUAGCUAACGCAUUAAGUGCCCCGCCUGGGGAGUACGGCCGCAAGGCUAAAACUCAAAGGAAUUGACGGGGGCCCGCACAAGCGGCGGAGCAUGCGGAUUAAUUCGAUGCAACGCGAAGAACCUUACCAAGGCUUGACAUACACCGGACCGGGCCAGAGAUGGUCUUUCCCCCUUGUGGGGCUGGUGUACAGGUGGUGCAUGGUUGUCGUCAGCUCGUGUCGUGAGAUGUUGGGUUAAGUCCCGCAACGAGCGCAACCCUCGUUCUAUGUUGCCAGCACGUGAUGGUGGGGACUCAUAGGAGACUGCCGGGGUCAACUCGGAGGAAGGUGGGGAUGACGUCAAAUCAUCAUGCCCCUUAUGUCUUGGGCUUCACGCAUGCUACAAUGGCCAGUACAAUGGGUUGCGAUGCCGCGAGGUGGAGCUAAUCCCAAAAAGCUGGUCUCAGUUCGGAUCGUGGUCUGCAACUCGACCACGUGAAGUCGGAGUCGCUAGUAAUCGCAGAUCAGCAACGCUGCGGUGAAUACGUUCCCGGGCCUUGUACACACCGCCCGUCAAGUCACGAAAGUUGGUAACACCCGAAGCCGGUGGCCUAACCCUUGUGGGGGAGCCGUCGAAG